rnacentral:rRNA from 1 species
UACGGAGGGGACUAGCGUUGUUCGGAAUUACUGGGCGUAAAGCGCACGUAGGCGGGUUGUUAAGUCAGGGGUGAAAUCCCGGAGCUCAACUCCGGAACUGCCUUUGAUACUGGCAAUCUAGAGACUGGAAGAGGUUAGUGGAAUUCCCAGUGUAGAGGUGAAAUUCGUAGAUAUUGGGAAGAACACCAGUGGCGAAGGCGGCUAACUGGUCCAGUAACGUGA